AGUGAACGCUGGCGGUAGGCCUAACACAUGCAAGUCGAACGGCAGCACAGUAAGAGCUUGCUCUUACGGGUGGCGAGUGGCGGACGGGUGAGGAAUACAUCGGAAUCUACUUUUUCGUGGGGGAUAACGUAGGGAAACUUACGCUAAUACCGCAUACGACCUACGGGUGAAAGCAGGGGAUCUUCGGACCUUGCGCGAUUGAAUGAGCCGAUGUCGGAUUAGCUAGUUGGCGGGGUAAAGGCCCACCAAGGCGACGAUCCGUAGCUGGUCUGAGAGGAGGAUCAGCCACACUGGAACUGAGAAACGGUCCAGACUCCUAGGGGAGGCAGCGGUGGGGAAUAUUGGACAAUGGGCGCAAGCCUGAUCCAGCCAUACCGGGUGGGUGAAGAAGGCCUUCGGGUUGUAAAGCCCUUUGUUGGGAAAGAAAAGCAGCAGGUUAAUACCCCGCUGUUCUGACGGUACCCAAAGAAUAAGCACCGGCUAACUUCGUG
rnacentral:rRNA from 1 species